rnacentral:rRNA from 1 species
GGGCCCGCACAAGCGGUGGAGUAUGUGGUUUAAUUCGAUGCAACGCGAAGAACCUUACCAAGGCUUGACAUCCCGUGACAAACUGUGAAAGCAGGAUUUCCCUUCGGGGACACGGAGACAGGUGGUGCAUGGUUGUCGUCAGCUCGUGUCGUGAGAUGUUGGGUUAAGUCCCGCAACGAGCGCAACCCUUGUCCUUAGUUACCAGCAUUAAGUUGGGGACUCUAGGGAGACUGCCAGUGACAAACUGGAGGAAGGUGGGGAUGACGUCAAAUCAUCAUGCCCUUUAUGCCUUGGGCUACACACGUACUACAAUGGGCUGUACAGAGGGCGGCAAGACCGUGAGGUCAAGCGAAUCCCUUAAAGCAGUCCUCAGUUCGGAUUGUAGGCUGCAACUCGCCUACAUGAAGCUGGAAUCGCUAGUAAUCGCUGGUCAGCAUACAGCGGUGAAUACGUUCCCGGGCCUU